ensembl:lncRNA
GUGUGUGGGCGUGGGUGUGUGUGAGUGAGAGUGCAUGUGUUCUACCAAGGAUUACAGAGCUGCUGACAACUCCAGACCAACACACUCCGCACAGUAAAACACUGCCACUCUUUUUGGUCUGUGAAUGUGUGUACAUGUUUAUAUGUGUGUGUUCUUGCCUGUGUUUCAAAUGAGCUGCUGCAUUAUGUCUUUCUAGACAGUAAUGCAGUCACAAACACAAACGAUCACACACACACACACACACAAACACACACAGACACACAUGCUAGGCCUUUGUGUGACUUGAUUGUGUUGCACUAGUGCUCGAUUUGACUGACAUGUAGUCCAGCUCUUUCCUGGACCCCCCUUCUAAGUGCCUGCAAUAGCAAUAGUACAAAUGUACUAUUCACUAAAUGCAAAGUAUGGAAGUGUACUGAGGUACAUUUCAAGUUCCUCUGUGGAUGUUGUCCUCUCAGACCUUUGACUGGUCUUGUCUGUGUGGAUGUUGUCCUUCUCUCAGAACUUUGACUGGUCUUGUCUGUGUGGAUGUUGUCCUUCUAUCAGACCUUUGACUGGUCUUGUCUGUGUGGAUGUUGUCCUUCUAUCAGAGCUUUGACUGGUCUUGUGGGGGAAGAGUGAGUGUGAGUGUGUGAGGGGGGGGGGGCUGUGAAGCGAGGUCCGACUGGAAGCAUAGCGUAUCUCUGCCUGCCUGUUCGUCUGGCCACCGGCUUACAUCUAAUCAGACAAGCACUUCUCCCAAAGCAUGAACAUGAAAUUGAGUUUCUAAACCUAUAGUUUAGGGGAGCGCGUAGACUCUAAAUAUAAAAGUUCCAUUCACAGAUCUGUCUGUAUAUCCCCUGUUGAGAUUCAGCGGAUUUCUGCAUCUCCUUUUGGCAAUUAGUUUGAGAAUGUACUCUAGUUUGUCUGAGUAUGACUUGUGAUUGGAGAAUAGGGAGGGAUUAUCUGCUGCUGCACCAGCUGUGCAUUGUGGGAAGUGCUGAGUGACACGUGAUGUGAUGAGCGUCAAAAAGAGACGCUUUAAAGAGUACCAGGAGCUGGAGUAGGAGCAGGAGCCCAGUCUCCCCUCAGCAGAGACGAGAUCAUGAAGACUCAGGCUGGCACAGCGCCUACUGCAUGCUCUUGCCUUGGUCUUUCUGGAAGAGGGACUUAGUUGACCGACUACUAUGUGAAGGGUUUUUUCACAACAGCAUUAAUCGAUAUCCUUAGUUAUUGUUCAUGAAUUAUUGCACAUGUCUGAGAGCGCUCCCCUAAACUGACAGUCAGGUAUGGUCGUCAAUUGUUCAAUGUUGGAUUUGGCUGAAAUGCCCCUACCUGUAGUCCCUGGCGGAUCAUUAAACAUCACCAGAAGUAGGAGCUGUUUGGUGAGUGCUUAGCAUUACACAUCUCCUGCUACAGCGUAUAGUGCUUGUGGGUGCCAUGGAAACGGCUGAUACAGUUGUGUACUUACUGCAUUACCUGUCGUUACUAACUGAGUGUAGCUGAAACAAUACUAUACAAGCUUUUAAUGUAGUAAGUAUAUUGUAAUAAUGUGUAUUUACAAUGCUGUCUACAUUGUAUUUACCCGUAACAGGAGUGAUGUAAUGUGGAGUGUGAUCAUCAUCAAUACUAAAUCCUGCUAAUUCAUGGAAUUUCAGACUAAUCUGACGGCACAGAAGUGGGACUGAUCCAAUCUGUUCGUUAGGUGUUCACUGGGAUGCAGUAUCCGCUUCUUAAGAUGUCUAAGCACAUUGAUUGAAAACUACAGUAUUAAAACUGGGUUGACAAUCAAGCUAUGCCAAAGCACAUGUUGCUGUUUGUUUCCAAAUUGUUUUUGGGAGGCUUUCUGAAGUGACCCGUAUUUGAAUUUUUGGGAAAUAAAACUAAUUUAAUAAAGACUGUCUAAUGUAUUUUAAUCAGAAUAAAAUAAUGUAUCACACGAAGAAAGGAACAUUAAAUAAGCAUCGCACAUCAAAGAGACAUUAUAUUUUACCAGUACAGUGGUUUGUGCAUGACUUCUGAAAAUAACCCAUUUUCUUGCUGUUGACAGUUUGUACUUAUCUAAGCAACAUUUAUCAGAGUUUCUCCAUCUUUUUGAUGCAUCAAAGCUGUUUUGUAAAUUUUUAAGGAUUUGUGCCAAGAGAAUGUAUAUUAAAAUGAUUCAUAUUACAAAUGAUUUGUGUAGCUCUUCGUGACCUCAAUAAAGUAGGUG